rnacentral:rRNA from 1 species
UACGUAGGGUGCAAGCGUUGUCCGGAAUUAUUGGGCGUAAAGAGCUCGUAGGCGGUCUGUCACGUCGGCUGUGAAAACUCGCGGCUCAACUUCGAGCUGGCGGUCGAUACGGGCUGGCUAGAGUUCGGCAGGGGAGACUGGAAUUCCUGGUGUAGCGGUGAAAUGCGCAGAUAUCAGGAGGAACACCGGUGGCGAAGGCGGGUCUCUGGACGGAUACUGACGCUGAGGCGCGAAAGCGUGGGGAGCAAACAGG